rnacentral:rRNA from 1 species
GUCUAUGGCCAUACCACCCUGAACAUGCCCAAUCUCAUCUGAUCUCGGAAGCUAAAAUGGCUGGCUUAGCAGUGAACCGGAACCAGAACGUCAUGCCGUUGAGG